rnacentral:ncRNA from 1 species
UUUAACGAGAGUUUGAUCCUGGCUCAGGAUGAACGCUGGCGGCGUGCCUAACACAUGCAAGUCGAGCGAAGCACUUUACUUUGAUUUCUUCGGAUUGAAGAGUUUUGUGACUGAGCGGCGGACGGGUGAGUAACGCGUGGGUAACCUGCCUCAUACAGGGGGAUAACAGUUAGAAAUGACUGCUAAUACCGCAUAAGACCACAGCACCGCAUG